rnacentral:rRNA from 1 species
CUACGGGGCGCUCCAGUCGAGAAUAUUCCACAAUGGGCGAAAGCCUGAUGGAGCGACGCCGCGUGUGGGAAGAAGGUUUUAGGAUUGUAAACCACUUUUCUUAGGGAGCAAUUUCGAUGAGAGUACCUAAGGAAUAAGAGGCUACUAACUCUGUGCCAGCAGUAGCGGUAAUACAGAGGCCUCAAGCGUUAUCCGGAUUUAUUGGGCGUAAAGCGUAUGUAGGCGGUUUGAUUAGUCAGGUGUCAAAGCCCGGGGCUCAACCCCGGAAAGGCAUUUGAAACGGUCAAACUAGAGAAUAUAAGAGAUGACUGGAAUUCAUGGUGUAGUAGUGAAAUGCGUUGAUAUCAUGAGGAACACUCAAGGCGAAGGCAAGUCAUUGGUGUAUUUCUGACGCUGGGAUACGAAAGCGUGGGGAGCGAAUGGGAUUAGAUACCCGAGUAGUC